rnacentral:misc_RNA from 1 species
GUUGCCGUGCUUAUUGCUCACACCUUCGCGUCUCGUACCGGAAUCGUUUGAACUGCCUUUGUGAAUGCGCAGCGCAGCACGCGGGGCUCCUCGUCGGAGGAGCAGGUGAGCGCACAAAGACCUGCGCAACGAAAGCUUGAAAACGGAUCAUCAUGUCUUCGAGGGACCAGUUUCUGGUGGAUGAGCUGCGCAGUCGCCUGAAGAGGCGGCGCGCUGACAUUGUCCGCUAUCUCGAUGGCCUGUUCUACGAUGAGUGUCGCCGCAUCAUUGAGUGCGUUUCUGAACUUGACAGGGAUAACUUGUUUCUCAGAAACCCAUCCUCCUUGCCAGACUACGCGCAACACGUUACUCGGCCCAUGUACUGGGAGCUCAUUCAACGGAAGCUGCAGCGCUACGAGUACAGGACUGCGGCGGACUUCAUGGCGGACAUGCGGGCAGUUGUCAACAACUGCUACCUGUACAAUGGUAUUCAGGCGCCGGCAUCGAAACUUGCACGCACGAUGGAGGUUCUUAUGGAAGAUCGAUUUGUGACGGAGCUGAGGGCCGCGCCGGUUCCACCGGCGGAAGUGAAGAAGGCCUGCACCGGCAUGUCAUCGGCUGACAGCCGGGAGAUUCUCCGCAUCUACGCUCUUUACGAAGGGCUCGAGGUGGGCUCGAUGAUGGGAAACGUGAACAUCCAGCUCCGCACUGCCAAAAGCGCCACUCUGCGACGCAUGCUCGAGUACGCCCGCAGCAGCGCCGAGCACCGUGAAAAAAAAGCCAAGCUGCGGCGAGCCGCAAAGGUGUCGCGUGUGUCUGAUCGCCGCAGACGGGCGAUGGCCGGGGUACACGCGGCGGUGAUGCAGCAGGACGCAGACGUGCAGUUUCACCACGACACCGAGCCUCGGCUUGAGCACGUUCCUCAAAAUGCGCAAGCAGCCACAUCGAUGAUGGAGGAGGUGAGUCCCAUCCGCAUCGAAGAGGAGGGGGAGUGGUUCGACGACGGUGACUUCGAGGAAUCGUCGCAGGUAUGAGGACUGCUGCCUCCUGGGGUGGAGCUGUAGCUCCACUUCUUUUUCCUGCACGCUGUGCCAUUUCAGGUUCGUGUUUUGUUCCCUCUCCUGAUUUAUGAGCCCCGCCGCACCUUUAGAGUGCUUAACCUCUCUGCCGGGGACAGGAGAGCAGCGUGACUUCGUGCGCGCACGCCGCUCUUUUCUUGUUCGUGUCGCCUGAACAUUGGGGGAACGCUAUCCAGAACUCGUCAAAGCUGUCGGGGGCACUUACACGCCGCCGUCGAGCUCACCAUGCUGCCGCGCCGACAGGGAUGCGUAUGAGGUGCGACGGUAUCCCGAUCAUCGUUGGUGCCAUGACUCUCACGCAAAUGCCUGUUGUGCAUGUUCAUUUUUGGUGAUGAUAUGUGGAUCCAUAAUGUUUAUCCUCCUCCGAUUCUUUCGCGUGCUCUCCUAAGGUAG